rnacentral:rRNA from 1 species
UACGUAGGUGGCAAGCGUUGUCCGGAAUUACUGGGUGUAAAGCGCGUGUAGGCGGCAGGCCAAGUCUGCGGUGAAAGCGCCCGGCUCAACUGGGCGAGGUCCGUGGAAACUGGUCAGCUGGAGGACGGUAGAGGCGAGUGGAAUUCCCGGUGUAGUGGUGAAAUGCGUAGAUAUCGGGAGGAACACCUGUGGCGAAAGCGGCUCACUGGACCACAACUGACGCUGAUGCGCGAAAGCUAGGGGAGCAAACAGG